rnacentral:rRNA from 1 species
AUACGGAGGGUGCAAGCGUUGUUCGGAAUUACUGGGCGUAAAGCGCGUGCAGGUGGUUCGGCAAGUCGGGUGUGAAAUCCCCGGGCUCAACCCGGGAACUGCAUCCGAAACUUCCGAGCUAGAGUCCCGGAGAGGAAGGCAGAAUUCCCAAUGUAGGGGUGAAAUCCGUAGAUAUUGGGAGGAAUACCAGUUGCGAAGGCGGCCUUCUGGACGGUGACUGACACUCAGACGCGAAAGCGUGGGGAGCAAACAGGAUUAGAAACCCCGGUAGUCC